rnacentral:rRNA from 1 species
AUUGAACGCUGGCGGCGUGCCUAACACAUGCAAGUCGAGCGGUAACAGGUGUAGCAAUACAUGCUGACGAGCGGCGGACGGGUGAGUAACGCUUGGGAAUCUGCCUGUUAGUGGGGGACAACCCGGGGAAACUCGGGCUAAUACCGCAUACGCACUACGGUGGAAAGCCGGGGACCGCAAGGCCUGGCGCUAACAGAUGAGCCCAAGUCGGAUUAGCUAGUUGGUAGGGUAACGGCCUACCAAGGCGACAAUCCGUAGCUGGUCCUGAGAGGACGACCAGCCACACCGGAACUGAGACACGGUCCGGACUCCUACGGGAGGCAGCA